rnacentral:rRNA from 1 species
CAAGUCGAGUGCGCGUUUCGUAGCAAUACGAGAUGGCGCACGGCGCACGGGUGCGUAACACGUGGGUAACCUGCCCUUUGGUGGGGAAUAACUCCGCGAAAGCGGAGCUAAUUCCGCAUAAGAUCCGCAAGGAUGAAAGCCGCAAGGCGCCGAUGGAGGGGCCCGCGCACGAUUAGCUAGUUGGUAGGGUAACGGCCUACCAAGGCUUUGAUCGUUAGCUGGUCUGAGAGGAUGGCCAGCCACACUGGAACUGAGACACGGUCCAGACUCCUACGGGAGGCAGCAGUGGGGAAUCUUGCACAAUGGGCGAAAGCCUGAUGCAGCGACGCCGCGUGGGGGAUGAAGCAUUUCGGUGUGUAAACCCCUUUCGAUCCGGACGAAUGCCCGCAAGGGAGUGACGGUACGGAUAUAAGAAGCCCCGGCUAACUACGUGCCAGCAGCCGCGGUAAGACGUAGGGGGCCAGCGUUGUUCGGAAUUACUGGGUGUAAAGGGUUCGUAGGCGGUGCGGCAAGUUGGGAGUGAAAUCUCUGGGCUUAACCCAGAGGCUGCUUCCAAAACUGCUGUGCUUGAGUGUGGGAGAGGCGCGUGGAAUUGCAGGUGUAGCGGUGAAAUGCGUAGAUAUCUGCAGG